ACUCCUACGGGAGGCAGCAGUGGGGAAUUUUGGACAAUGGGCGAAAGCCUGAUCCAGCCAUACCGCGUGAGUGAAGAAGGCCUUCGGGUUGUAAAGCUCUUUCAGCCGGAAAGAAAUCGCGUUGGUUAAUAUCCAGCGUGGAUGACGGUACCGGAAGAAGAAGCACCGGCUAACUACGUGCCAGCAGCCGCGGUAAUACUCCUACGGGAGGCAGCAGUGGGGAAUUUUGGACAAUGGGCGAAAGCCUGAUCCAGCCAUACCGCGUGAGUGAAGAAGGCCUUCGGGUUGUAAAGCUCUUUCAGCCGGAAAGAAAUCGCGUUGGUUAAUAUCCAGCGUGGAUGACGGUACCGGAAGAAGAAGCACCGGCUAACUACGUGCCAGCAGCCGCGGUAAUAAU
rnacentral:rRNA from 1 species